AACGGACGCUGGCGGCAUGCCUAACACAUGCAAGUCGAACGAGACCUUCGGGUCUCGUGGCGCAAGGGUGCGUAACGCGUGGGAACCUGCCCUUAGGUUCGGAAUAACUCCCCGAAAGGGGUGCUAAUACCGGAUAAUGUCUUCGACCAAAGAUUUAUCGCCUUUGGAUGGGGCCGCGUUGGAUUAGCUAGUUGGUAGGGUAAAAGCCUACCAAGGCGACGAUCCAUAGCUGGUCUGAGAGGAUGAGCAGCCACACUGGGACUGAGACACGGCCCAGACUCCGACGGGAGGUAGCAGUGGGGAAUAUUGGACAAGGGGCGAAAGCCUGAUCCAGCAAUGCCGCGUGAGUGAUGAAGGCCUUAGGGUUGUAAAGCUCUUUUACCCGAGAUGAUAAUGACAGUACCGGGAGAAUAAGCGCCGGCUAACUCCGUG
rnacentral:rRNA from 1 species